CCCGGUCUAGUAGGGAGGGCUUCCUGGAGUAGGGACAGCCACAUUCAUCCCGGCUGUGGACUGAACUGUGUCCCCUUCAGAUGUCAUAUGUUGAAGCCCUUGCCUCCACUGUGACUGCAUUUGGAGACUGGGCCUAUCAGGAGAUAAGAGAUCACAUGGAGACACAGCAAGAAGGCAGCUGUCUGCAGCCAGGAAGAGAGCCCUCAGCAGAACCUGCGCCUGCCAGCACCAUGGUCUUGGACUCCCAGUCUCCAGAACUAUGAGAAACUGUAAGUCAGAGUUAAGACUGGAGCCCAGGCCAUCUCCCUCCACCACCCACACCUGACAUCCGCACACUGCGCUUCCUGCAUGGUGGACAGUGCCUGCCUGCUCACAACUGGGACCACUGCCUCCUCUGCUUCUCUGUAGCCCUGGCCCUAGCUCGUGGAAGGAGCAACAGGGCCAUAUUUGAGUUUCAGAGCACUGCUCAGGGGGGCAGAAGGCAGGGUCAGAUUCUUCUGGAAGAGGUCGGAGGUUUCCCAGCCAGAACAAAACUGGGAUGAGAAGCUGGGGUUCCUCCCACCCCUCUCCAGGACCUGUGAAUGUCCCUCCCCUGUGGAGCUGGAAAGCCAGCCCGAAGGCACCUGCCCCGUGGGAGGACACACCCCUGAGCCUGGAUGCCUCAUCUCCUGCAGCUUUGGAAUUCUAGCCCCUACCC
ensembl:lncRNA LINC01472 long intergenic non-protein coding RNA 1472